UGUAAAAUCCUAGUACUGCUUUACAAAGCCUUAGUAAGACCACAGUUGGGAAUACUGCAUCAAGUUCUGGUCGCCACAAAAUAUAAAAAAGGAGU